rnacentral:rRNA from 1 species
GACAUGGGUUAGUCGAUCCUAAGCUAUAGGGAAGUUCCGUUUCAAAGGUGCACUUUGCACCGUCUAGCGAAAGGGGAGCCGGUCAAUAUUCCGGCACCUGGAUGUGGGUUUUGCGCGGCAACGCAACUGAACGUGGAGACGACGGCGGGGGCCCCGGGCAGAGUUCUCUUUUCUUCUUAACGGUCUAUCACCCUGAAAUCGGUUUG